rnacentral:rRNA from 1 species
ACGCGUGGAACCUUACCAGGUCUUGACAUCCCAUUGACCGCUAUGGAGACAUAGCUUUCCCUUCGGGGACAGUGGUGACAGGUGGUGCAUGGUUGUCGUCAGCUCGUGUCGUGAGAUGUUGGGUUAAGUCCCGCAACGAGCGCAACCCUUGAUCUUAGUUGCCAGCAUUCAGUUGGGCACUCUAAGGUGACUGCCGGUGACAAACCGGAGGAAGGUGGGGAUGACGUCAAAUCAUCAUGCCCCUUAUGACCUGGGCUACACACGUGCUACAAUGGAUGGUACAAAGGGCUGCAAGACCGCGAGGUUUAGCCAAUCCCAUAAAACCAUUCUCAGUUCGGAUUGCAGGCUGCAACUCGCCUGCAUGAAGCUGGAAUCGCUAGUAAUCGCGGAUCAGCAUGCCGCGGUGAAUACGUUCCCGGGCCUUGCACUCACUGCCCGU